rnacentral:rRNA from 1 species
CAAGGAUUCCCCUAGUAACUGCGAGUGAAGAGGGAAAAGCUCAAAUUUUGAAUCCGGCGGUCUUUGGCCGUCCGAGUUGUAAUCUAGAGAAGCGUCUUCCGCGCUGGACCGUGUAUAAGUUUCCUGGAAUGGAACGUCGUAGAGGGUGAGAAUCCCGUCUUUGACACGGACUCCCAGGGCUAUGUGAUGCGCUCUCGACGAGUCGAGUUGUUUGGGAAUGCAGCUCAAAUAGGGUGGUAAAUUCCAUCUAAAGCUAAAUACAGGCGAGAGACCGAUAGCGAACAAGUACCGUGAGGGAAAGAUGAAAAGAACUUUGGAAAGAGAGUUAAACAGUACGUGAAAUUGCUGAAAGGGAAACGCUUGAUGUCAGUCGCGUUUGCCGGGGAUCAGCCUUGCUUGACUGCUC